rnacentral:lncRNA from 1 species
CUUUUUUGAGACAGAGUCUUGCUCUGUCACCCAGGCUGGAGUGCAGUGGUGCAAUCUCAGCUCACUGCAACCUCCGCCUCCCAGGUUCAAGUGAUUCUCCUGCCUUAGCCUCCCGAAUAGCUGGGACUACGGGCAUGUGCCACCAUGCCUGGCUAAUUUUUUGUAUUUUUAGUAGAGACGGGGUUUCACCGUGUCAGCCAGUAUGGUCUUGAUCUCCUGACCUUGUGAUCUACCCACCUCAGCCUCCCAGAGUGCGGGGAGUGUAGGAGUGCGCCACCGUGCCCAGGUGGUGGUUUUUUUUUUUUUUUUUCUGUCGUUCCCCAGGUUGGAGGGGCAGGAAAUGCUUUGAGGUCAAGGUGGCUGCAGGAAAAAGGAUGACAUUGAAGAGAUGAGCCCAUCAUUGGCAGAGCCUGGAAAUGAAGAGGGUGUGGCUAGAGGAACCCCCUCUCCUGCAGACUGGACUCACCACCAGCUCCAGUGACAGUGGGCUCAGAGGAGAUCCUCUAAGCCUGCUCAGUACAGGACACAGGCAAACAAGGAACCUGGAGAGGGCAGCCUCUAGCCUCCCUGGCCUGGCAGCUGUAGGACCUACCUCUACAAAGCUAAAAACUCUUGUCUCGGAAAAAAAAAAAAAAAAAAUUAACAGCAGCUGGGGUUCAGAAAAUGGACAGAUGUGGUUUUCCUCAAAUACAUGUCCUAGAUGUAGGGUAUCCAAUUAUUACAAUUUUUAUUUUAUUUCAUAUUUAUUUAUUUAUUUUUUAGACAGAAUCUCGCUCUGUUGCCUGGGCUGGAGUGCAGUGGCACUGUAUCCGGAAUUGGGGGGUUCUUGGUCUCACUGACUUCAAGAAUGAAGCCAUGGACCCUUGCGGUAAGUGUUCCAGCUCUUAAGGUGGCGCGUCUGGAGUUUGUUUCUUCUGAUGUUCAGGUGUGUUCAGCGUUUCUUCCUUCUGGUGGGUUCAUGGUUUCACUGGCUCAGGAGUGAAGCUGCAGACCUUCGCAGUGAGUGUUACAGCUCAUAAAAGCAGUGGGGACCCAAAGAGUGAGCAGUACAAGAUUUAUUGCAAAGAGCAAAAGAACAAAGCUUCCACAGUGUGGAAGGGGACCCAAGUGGGUUGCCACUGCUGGCUCGGGCAGCCUGCUUUUAUUCUCUUAUCUGGCCCCACCCACAUCCUGCUGAUUGGUAGAGCCCACUGGUCUGUUUUGACAGGGCGCUGAUUGGUGCGUUUACAAUUCCUGAGCUAGACACAAAGGUUCUCCACAUCCCCACCAGAUUAACUAGAUACAGAGUGUCAACACAAAGGUUCUCCAAGGCCCCACCACAGUAGCUAGAUACAGAGUGUCGAUUGGUGCAUUCACAAACCCUGAGCUAGACACAGGGUGCUGAUUGGUGUGUUUACAAACCUUGAGCUAGAUACAGAGUGCCGAUUGGUGUAUUUACAAUCCCUGAGCUAGACAUAAAGGUUCUCCAAGGCCCCACCAGAGUAGCUAGAUACAGAGUGUUCAUUGGUGCAUUCACAAACCCUGAGCUAGACAUAGGGUGAUGAUUGGUGUAUUUACAAUCCCUGAGCUAGACAAAGGUUCUCCACGUCCCCACCAGACUCAGGAGCCCAGCUAGCUUCACCCAGUGGAUCCUGCACCGGGGCUGCAGGUGGAGCUGCCUGCCAGUCCCACGCCGUGCGCCUGCACUCCUCAGCCCUUGGGUGGUGGAUGGGACUGGGCACCAUGGAGCAUGGGGCAGUGCUCGUCAGGGAGGCGCGGGCCGCACAGGAGCCCAUGGAGGGGGUGGGAGGCUCAGGCAUGGCGGGCUGCAGGUCCCGAUCCCUGCCCCGCGGGAAGGCAGCUAAGGCCUGGUGAGAAAUCAAGCGCAGCGCCGGUGCGCUGGCACUGCUGGGGGACCCAGUACACCCUCCGCAGCCGCUGUCCGGCCCGGGUGCUAAGCCCCUCAUUGCCCGGGGCCAGCAGGGCCGGACGGCUGCUCUGAGUGCAGGGUCCGCCAAGCCCACGCCCACCCGGAACUCCAGCUGGCCCACAAGCACCGCGCGCAGCCCCGAUUCCGGCUCGCGCCUCUCCCUCCACACUUCCCUGCAAGCUGAGGGAGCCAGCUCCGGCCUUGGCCAGCCCAGAAAGGGGCUCCCACAGUGCAGCGGUGGGCUGAAGGGCUCCUGAAGUGCCGCCACAGUGGGAGCCCAGGCAGAGGAGUCGCAGAGAGUGAGCGAGGGCUGUGAGGACUGCCAGCACGCUGUCACCUCUCAGCGCCAUCUCGGCUCACUGCAACCUCCACCUCCUGGGUUCAAGCAAUUCUCCGGCCUCAGCCUCCUGAGUAGCUGGGAUUAUAGGUGCGCAUCACUAUGCCCAGCUAAUUUUUGUAUUUUUAGUAGAAAUGAGGUUUCACCACAUUGGCCAGGCCAGACCAGCCUGGACAAUAGAGUGAGACCCUAUAUAGGGAUCUCACUAUAUAGAGCAAUACAGCGGGAUCACCCGACCUCGGGUGAUCCGCUCGUUGGCCUCCCAAAGUGCUAGUGUUACAAGUGUGAGCCAAUGCGCCCAGCCCUAUUCUUUUUUUUUUUUUUUUUUUUUUUGAAAUCAAGUCUUGCUCUGUCACCCAGGCUGGAGUGCAGUGGCAUGAUCUCUGCUCACCGCAACCUCCACCUCCCGAGUUCAAGUGAUUCUCCUGCCUCAGCCUCCUGAGUAGCUGGGAUUACAGGCACCCGCCACCACACCCGGCUAAUUUUUGUAUUUUUAGUAGAGACGGGGUUUCACCAUGUUGGUCAGGCGGGCCUGGAACUCGUAAUGUCAGAUGAUCCACCUGCCUCGGCCUCCUAAAGUGCUGGGAUUACAGGCAUGAGCGACCACGCCAUCUUUUUUUUUUUUUUUUAACAAAACACAGAUGUAGAAUUAGAGCCUUCAGGGGUGGGUGCAGUGGCGCUCACACCUUUAAUCCCAUCACUUUGUGAAGCCAAGGCAGGAGGAUCCCUUGAGUCUCGGUGUUUGAGACCAGCCUGGACAAUAGAAUGAGACCCUGCCUCUACGAAAAAAAAAUUAUUUUUGUUUUGAGAUGGAGUCUUGCUCUGUUGCCCAGGCUGGAGUGCAGUGGCGCAAUCUCGGCUUAUUUGCAGCCUCUGCCUCCUUGGCUCAAGUGAUUCUUCUGCGUCAGCCUCUAGAGUAGCUGGGACUACAGACGUGCACCACCAUGCUCGGCUAAUUUUUGUAUUUUUUUGUAGAGAUGGGGGUUCCACCAUGUUGGCCCGGCUGGUCUCGAACUGCUGACCUCAAGUGACCUGCCUGUCUCGGCCUCACAAAUGGCUGGGAUUACAGGCACGAGACACCGUGCCUGGCCCUGGGAACAUGUUUACAUGGACUUUGUUCACUUUUUAAAACAAACUGAGGGUAACUUACUAGAUCUGUGAACUAAAGAAAGAGAAAAAAAAGAAAGAAAACAAACAAGAACAAAGAACAAAGUGUUCUGAGGUUGCUUUUAUUCCAAGAACUCUGUGAGCUCCCACCAGCACCAUGAGGGCGCUCUCG